GAUGAACGCUAGCGGCAGGCCUAACACAUGCAAGUCGAGGGGUAGCAGGAUUAAGCUUGCUUAAUUGCUGACGACCGGCGCACGGGUGCGUAACGCGUAUGCAACCUACCUUAUACUGGGGUAUAGCCCGGAGAAAUUCGGAUUAAUCCCCCAUAGUACUAAUGAAUCGCAUGGUUUAUUAGUUAAAGCAUUGCGGUAUAAGAUGGGCAUGCGUCCUAUUAGCUAGAUGGUGAGGUAACGGCUCACCAUGGCUACGAUAGGUAGGGGGCCUGAGAGGGUGGUCCCCCACACUGGUACUGAGACACGGACCAGACUCCUACGGGAGGCAGCAGUGAGGAAUAUUGGUCAAUGGGCGCAAGCCUGAACCAGCCAUGCCGCGUGCAGGAAGAAUGCCCUAUUGGUUGUAAACUGCUUUUAUUUGGGAAUAAACCUCUAUACGUGUAGAGAGCUGAAGGUACCAAAUGAAUAAGCACCGGCUAACUCCGUGCCAGCCGCCGCGGUAA
rnacentral:rRNA from 1 species